ACUCCUACGGGAGGCAGCAGUGGGGAAUAUUGCGCAAUGGGCGGAAGCCUGACGCAGCGACGCCGCGUGAGGGAUGACGGCCUUCGGGUUGUAAACCUCUUUCAGCUCUGACGAAGCGUGAGUGACGGUAGGAGCAGAAGAAGCACCGGCCAACUACGUGCCAGCAGCCGCGGUAAUACGUAGGGUGCAAGCGUUGUCCGGAAUUAUUGGGCGUAAAGAGCUCGUAGGCGGUUUGUCGCGUCGAAUGUGAAAACCCGGGGCUCAACCCCGGGCCUGCAUUCGAUACGGGCAGACUAGAGUUCGGUAGGGGAGUCUGGAAUUCCUGGUGUAGCGGUGAAAUGCGCAGAUAUCAGGAGGAACACCGGUGGCGAAGGCGGGACUCUGGGCCGAUACUGACGCUGAGGAGCGAAAGCGUGGGGAGCGAACAGGAUUAGAUACCCUGGUAGUCCACGCCGUAAACGUUGGGCGCUAGGUGUGGGGUUCCUUCCACGAACUCCGUGCCGCAGCUAACGCAUUAAGCGCCCCGCCUGGGGAGUACGGCCGCAAGGCUAAAACUCAAAGGAAUUGACGGGGGCCCGCACAAGCGGCGGAGCAUGCGGAUUAAUUCGAUGCAACGCGAAGAACCUUACCAAGGCUUGACAUGCACGGGAAAGUUCCAGAGAUGGUUCCCCCGCAAGGUCCGUGCACAGGUGGUGCAUGGUUGUCGUCAGCUCGUGUCGUGAGAUGUUGGGUUAAGUCCCGCAACGAGCGCAACCCUUGUCUUAUGUUGCCAGCGGGUUAUGCCGGGGACUCAUAAGAGACUGCCGGGGUCAACUCGGA
rnacentral:rRNA from 1 species